CCUACGGGAGGCAGCAGUGAGGAAUAUUUGUCAAUGGACGAGAGUCUGAACCAGCCAAGUAGCGUGAAGGAUGACUGCCCUAUGGGUUGUAAACUUCUUUUAUAUGGGAAUAAAAUGUUCCACGUGUGGGAUUUUGUAUGUACCAUAUGAAUAAGGAUCGGCUAACUCCGUGCCAGCAGCCGCGGUAAUACGGAGGAGCCGAGCGUUAUCCGGAUUUAUUGGGUUUAAAGGGAGCGUAGGUGGAUUGUUAAGUCAGUUGUGAAAGUUUGCGGCUCAACCGUAAAAUUGCAGUUGAAACUGGCAGUCUUGAGUACAGUAGAGGUGGGCGGAAUUCGUGGUGUAGCGGUGAAAUGCUUAGAUAUCACGAAGAACUCCGAUUGCGAAGGCAGUUCACUGGACUGCAACUGACACUGAGGCUCGAAAGUGUGGGUAUCAAACAGGAUUAGAUACCCGUGUAGUC
rnacentral:rRNA from 1 species